CGGGAGACAGGGCAAGCACGGACCUGGCUGUCAGCAAACCUGGGUUCCAGGCCAAGCCCCACCAGGAGGAGCUGGGAAGCCCUGGCUGACUGCCAGCCCCAGGUAAAGGGAACUCCUCCAUUCUCAGCCCAUGUGGUUUGAGAGGGCUGACUCACCUCCAGCUCCACGGUGGGCAUGAAGCCCAGGCAUAUGCCCACAAGCAGCUGUCCACAAUGACAAGUUCGAGGAUGGGCACGAGGUCCAAUACUGCCAACGAGAGUUAGGCCUGGGGCAUUACAUGCAUCUGUUGGAAUGAAAAAAGCAUGUUCUACUUCUGGAGUCACUCUGGAAGUGGAGCCUAGAGCCACUGACGGCCGUUUUAUCACAUGGAGAAGAAACCUGCUUAAGAAUGGAGCCAAAGGAAAGCAGGGCCAAGAGAUGGCUCCAGACUGGACUCUGGUCACAUCAUCUGAGUCCCUGAGACCAGUAUUAACCCUUGACCUUUCAAGUAUGUAAGUCAAUAAAGGUCUGUGUUGCUUUAGUCAA